UUGUCAUUCUCCCUAUCUCUCUUCUUUUACAAUUUGUUUCUUUUCAGCUUUCCCCACCUCUUUUCUCCUCUUGCCUCUUUCUCCUUCCCACGUCUGGGUUCCUCAGGUCUCUGUUACAUCCUCGGUUUGAAGGGCUGUGGUUCAGGAGCUCUGCCAUUCCCAUGGGACUACGCAGGGAACGAGUGGAACAACUAAUCAAAUUCCAGAAGUUGAGGACAGCUGGAAGCAGAGCUUAAGCAAAGGUCACCGAGAAUGGGCUAGCUGUCUUUUAUGACACUGAAAAGGCCUUCAUGUCUAAAUGAAUGAGUUCUGGAAUUGCUCCCAUGAAGAAUGGCUAACCAAUUUGUCUCAACUGGCACUUGAAUGCGAAAUUACAAAUGAAGGUCUUCUGGACUGCACUGUGGUCCUUGGAAGAGCACUGGAUGAUUUAUUCUCACUCAUUUUCUCCACUUUCCAUGCUAAAAUAUUUUUACUUGGUCAAUAAAUUAUGGAGGCUGACAUUAACAAGA